rnacentral:lncRNA from 1 species
UGUUUAACGCCCAUUACUAGAUGAGGUAUGAAGACGGCCGGUUGAUUUACAAAUUUAGAUAUUGGGUUCACGUUUAGGGGGAGAUCCCUAUGGACCAUCAGAAGUACCAGUAAGCAGGUAAAAAUAUAAGUUAUUAUUCUUGCUCACUUCAAGAUGAAAUUACAAUGUUAUUUGAGUUAUUGCCUUUAUAGGUCGAUUUUUAGGAAUCCAUAGUGGUAAGUAUGAAAUAAACGGUUUUACGUU